AUCUGAGGUAAAAGCUGAUGAGAUCUUGCUGGAGGCUUUUUGACCUGGAAAGGAUCUGUGUCCAUUCAGUGAUGGGCAGAGAUGAAGUGGGUCAACAAACUCUGAGGACGUCACAACCAAGAGCUUUGAGCGCAAUGUGUGUAUGUUGAUAAGGACAUGCAUGCAUAAUCAACAAGGAAGAAAUGCUUCGUCAUGUUGUGCAUGAACAAACAUCUGGGUAAGCUGUUGUCUGUGAAUGAUU